UGAGGGAUCAGCGUUUUGGGUUUUCUAGGGAGGAGUUGGAUCUUUAGAGCGCCGGCUAAAGGAGAGUGGAAGCCAAGAUUUUCAGAUUUGGUAUACCAGUCACCGACAAAGGGGGUAAGAGGUCUGAUCUAGGCAGAGAAAGAGAGGAAGGGUGCAGUAGCCGAUCUGCGACAGUAGGAAAUGAAGAGGUUCUUGGGGGUGCCGCCGGUAGCAGAGGAAAGAGGAGUUACCGCUGGUUGGUUAGAAAGGCAAAUGAGGGAGGUUUUAAGUGAGGGAAGAGAGUAGGUGUUUGUAGAGAAAGAGAGGGAAAAUUUUAGAGAGAAGGUAGAGAGGGUGAGGCUAGAGAGAGAAAAAGAAGGCAGAAAAUGAGAAGAGAAGGGAAAAGGAAGGUUUAAAUACUUGGAUUAAGGAUCAAAACGACGUUGUUUUGGUGGAUUAAAAGUUGCCAAACAAAUACCCAAAACGGUGCGUUUUGGGCUCAGCCUUGUGGACCUUAGGAAGCAGAUCCGGCAUAACAGUUUUGGGCCUUCUGUGGGUUAUUGAAUUGGGCUAAUCUGAGCCUAAAAAGGUAACCUUCCUCUCUGGUUUUAAUUGAUUUUGUGUCUAGCCUAUAUUUGUUAAAUAAAAAUGUAUUUUCAUUUUUAUUGUUAU
rnacentral:lncRNA from 1 species